rnacentral:rRNA from 1 species
GACGAACGCUGGCGGCGUGCUUAACACAUGCAAGUCGAACGGAAAGGCCUUUUCGGAGGUACUCGAGUGGCGAACGGGUGAGUAACACGUGGGUGAUCUGCCCUGCACCCUGGGAUAAGCCUGGGAAACUGGGUCUAAUACCGGAUAGGACCGCACUUUAGUGUGUGUGGUGGAAAGUUUUUUCGGUGUAGGAUGAGCCCGCGGCCUAUCAGCUUGUUGGUGGGGUAAUGGCCUACCAAGGCGGCGACGGGUAGCCGGACUGAGAGGUUGGUCGGCCACAUUGGGACUGAGAUACGGCCCAGACUCCUACGGGAGGCAGCAGUGGGGAAUAUUGCACAAUGGGCGCAAGCCUGAUGCAGCGACGCCGCGUGGGGGAUGACGGCCUUCGGGUUGUAAACUCCUUUCGCCAGGGACGAAGCGUUUUGUGACGGUACCUGGAGAAGAAGCACCGGCUAACUACGUG